CUCGCCUUUCGCCGGAUCGCCGUUAGCGAUGGCCUGCGCGAUGGUCAUG
rnacentral:sRNA from 1 species